CCAAGUCAGGUGGGACUACCCGCUGAGCUUAAGCA
rnacentral:rRNA from 1 species